rnacentral:lncRNA from 1 species
UAGCAUUUCAAUCAGUGACGUCACUCGCUCUGAGACCUGAAGUGGUUGUUCCCCUUGCUCGGCAAGGGCCGCGGCUUUUGUGGCGCGAUGGGUAACAAUGCUUCGUGGGUGUCAGUUGUUGAUGUGUGCAAGGGUCCCUGGUUCGAGCCCGGGCUGGGGCGAAGAGAGGGACGGAACCUACACUGUUACAUUGGGAGGAAACAUAUUACAAUAAACAGGUAAGAUUCAUCCCACAAAAAACAUAAACAACAGAAAGAGUUGUAUUUCAAGACAGUUUAGAGAAGUUGGUCAUAAAAGUUCUUAAUAUCACUUGCAAAUUGUGAGGCAUGAGCAGUUGUGAAAUGUUGCGAGAGGCCCUUCUGAAAGCACAUAUGGUAUUUCGUGGCACGGUCUCACACCUUACCUCAUCUUGCAGAAGAAGCUCAUGGUCCACUAUCUGCUGCUCCAGAGUCAAGGCCAGGUCUCGCCCCAUGUCACCACAGAGCACAUGAGCGACUGGCUGGUGUUCAAGGGCAAAAAAUCCCUUAGGGAGAGGUUGUGGAAAGAAACCCUGGAGGAGGGGAACGAACUCGCCCGGCUGGCCUGGGAAGUAAACACUUGCUUAAAAAUGAUAGACAUAGAGCACGAGGCUGUCUGCAAGCUCCGCCGCUCCAUCCUCCCCACCUCGCCAGCUGACAUUGACCUUAAGGUCCACACCAUCGUGGAGAGAGCUGUGAGGAGCAUUCUGGGCAAGCUGUCCUCACUCUGCAAGGACGGGAUAGGACACAUCACAACACUGCUGCUCAUUCAUAUUCAAACACACCUCAGAGUAUGCACACAAACAUGGACGCACACACACAUUGGCGCGCACCCCACACAAUGAACUUACCUGUACAUAUCAGAAUCAUACAUUCGACAGCCACCUCUUCCCCCACAUUUCUUGAUUCCCCCACCUCAAACAUGUUGAGUCAAUCAAAGCCCAGAUGCUGGAAUGGUGCUGGAAUGCAGGUGCAGUAGGGCCUAGUAUGUAAUGGUGUGGUACCCUAUAUCCUAAAUCCUGUCUUUGUGUUUUUUUAUUUAAUCUUUAUUGAAACAGGGAGUCACAUUGAGAUUAAACAUUAUUUUACAAGAGAGCCCUGUACAAGUUGAAGUCAUAUUGAACAACUACCAGACAGAACCUUCUCUACGUGGGAAAUGCAUACCUGUCACGUUGGUAUGAAAGAUCGGGAGACAGGCG